GGGGUUGAUGUCAUUGGUUCGGCGUGCUAGCUGUUAACUAGUGUAGUGUGGGAUCGAAGCCCUCCAGCCCCU
rnacentral:tRNA from 1 species